ensembl:lncRNA
GAAACAUCAACAACAACAGAGACUUUCACAAUCACAAUGACAGCUCCUGAAAAAUCAACCACUACUGCAGUAGAAACAUCUACAACAACAGAGACUUCCACAGUCACAAUGACUGCACCAGAAACAUCUACCACAACAGAGACCUCCACAAUCACAUCAACUGCUCCUGAAACAUCCACCUCUAGUGCACCAGAAACAUCUACAACAACAGAGACUUCCACAGUCACAAUGACUGCACCAGAAACAUCCACUACUAGUGCAGCAGUAACAUCUAUAACAACAGAGACCUCCACAAUCACAACGACUCCACCGGAAACAUCUACCACUAAUGCGGCAGAAACAUCUACAACCACUGAGACAUCCACAAUCACAACGACUGAACCGGAAACAUCCACCACCAGUGCAGCAGAAACAUCUACUACGACAGAGACCUCCACAAUCACAACGACUGCUCCUGAACCAUCCACCACUAGUGCAGUAGAAACAUCUACAACAACGGAGACUUCCACAAUCACAACGACUGCUCCUGAAACAUCCACCACUAGUGCAGUAGAAACAUCUACAACCACUGAGACUUCCACAAUCACAACAACUGCACCGGAAACAACCACCACUAGUGCAGCAGAAACAUCUACAACAACAGAGACAUCCACAAUCACAACAACGGCUCCUGAAACAUCCACCACUAGUGCAGCAGAAACAUCUACAUCAACUGAGAUUUCCACAAUUACAACGACUCCUACUGAAACAUCCACCACUAGUCCAACAGAAACAUCUACAACAACAGAGACUUCCACAAUCACAACGACUGAACCGGAAAUAUCCACUACUCAUGCAGCAAAAACGUCUACAACAACAGAGACAUCCACAGUCACAACAACUGCCCCGGAAACAUCUUUCACCAAUUCAGCAGAAACAUCUACAACGACAGAGACAUCCACAGUCACGACUACUCCUGAAACAUCCACCACAAGUUCAGCAGAAACAUCUUCAACAACUGAGACUUCCACAAUCACAACAACUGCACCGGAAACAUCCACCACUAGUGCAGCAGAAACAUCUACAACAAGAGAGACAUCCACAAUCACAACAACUGCUCCUGAAGCAUCCACUACUAGUGCAGCAGAAACAUCUACAUCAACUGAGACUUCCACAAUCACAACGACUCCUACUGAAACAUCCACCACUAAUGCAACCGAAACAUCUACAACAACAGAGACUUCCACAGUCACAACAACUGCCCCGGAAACAUCUACCACCAAUUCAGCAGAAACAUCUACAACAACACAGACCUCCACAAUCACAACAACUGCCUCUGAAACAUCCACCACAAGUCCCGCUGAAACAUCUUCAACAACAGAGAUUUCCACAGUCACAACGACUGCACCAGAAACAUCCACCACCAGUGCAGCAGAAACAUUUUCAACAACAGAUUCUUCCACAAUAACAAUGACUGCACCGGAACCAUCCACCACUAGCGCAGCAGAAACAUCUACAACAACAGAGACUUCCACAAUCACAACGACUGCUGCUGAAACAUCCACCACCAGUGCAGCAGAAACAUCCACCACUAGUGCAGCAGAAACAUCUACAACAACUGAGAUAUCCACAAUCACAACAACUGCUCCUAAAACAUCCACCACUAGUGCAGCAGAAACAUCUACAUCAACGGAGACCUCCACAAUUACAACAACUGCACCGAAAACAUCUGCAACAACUGAGACUUCCACAAUCACAACAACUGCACCAGAAACAUCCACCACUAAUGCAACAGAAACAUCUACAACAACAGAGACUUCCACAGUCACAACAACUGCUCCUGAAACAUCCACCACUAGUGCAGCAGAAAUAUCUACAACAACAGAGACAUCCACAAUCACAACAACUGCUCCUGAAACAUCCACCACUAGUGCAUCCGAAACAUCUACAUCAACUGAGACUUCCACAAUUACAACAACUCCUACUGAAACAUCCACCACUAAUGCAACAGAAACAUCUACAACAACAGAGACUUCCACAGUCACAUCAACUGCCCCAGAAACAUCUACCACCAAUUCAGCAGAAACAUCUACAACGACAGAGACAUCCACAAUCACAACGACUACUCCUGAAACAUCCACCACAAGUGCAGCAGAAACAUCUUCAACAACUGAGACUUCCACAAUCACAACAACUGCACCGGAAACAUCCACAACUAGUGCAGCAGAAACAUCUACAUCAACUGAGACUUCCACAAUCACAACAACUCCUACUGAAACAUC